rnacentral:rRNA from 1 species
GGGGUAUACGAGUUUACCAUCCCUACCCUUCUGUGACCUACCUAUCGUUGCUUCGGCGGACUCGCCCCAGCCCGGACGCGGACUGGACCAGCGGCCCGCCGGGGACCUCAAACUCUUGUAUUCCAGCAUCUUCUGAAUACGCCGCAAGGCAAAACAAAUGAAUCAAAACUUUCAACAACGGAUCUCUUGGCUCUGGCAUCGAUGAAGAACGCAGCGAAAUGCGAUAAGUAAUGUGAAUUGCAGAAUCCAGUGAAUCAUCGAAUCUUUGAACGCACAUUGCGCCCGCCAGCAUUCUGGCGGGCAUGCCUGUUCGAGCGUCAUUUCAACCCUCGACCUCCCCUGGGGGAGGUCGGCGUUGGGGACCGGCAGCACACCGCCGGCCCUGAAAUGGAGUGGCGGCCCGUCCGCGGCGACCUCUGCGUAGUAAUACAGCUCGCACCGGAACCCCGACGCGGCCACGCCGUAAAACACCCAACUUCUGAACGUUGACCUCGAAUCAGGUAGGACUACCCGCUGAACUUAAGCAUAUCAAUAAGCGGAGGA